rnacentral:lncRNA from 1 species
UUUGGAUAGCUUACACAUGUAAAGAAAAGGAAGUUUAGAGAACAUGUAUGGGAACUGGGAAAGGGAAGUCCUAAGUUGAUUAGCCUACAAGAUCAUACCCAUGCAAUGCCCGGUAAUCACUCCUCAAUGAGGGGCUACAGGUGACAUUAGCGCGCAUGUCAUCAUAUCCUUUACUACCAGGUCAUAGGCUAAAGCGUUCUAGCAACCUUAAGAUAUAUUCUACAUGCGCACUACCCAUCCCUACCUUGCGGCCCUGGAGAUAUUUAGGACCUUUAAUUUAAGUAGUUCUAGACUAUCCUAAGGUACUUAAAGGAGAAAAAUCUAGGCGACAAUCAAAACAAUUAGGACUGGACCAAAGAUAGAACAAUAAAAGGCUCAACUUUUAUCUACACAAACAGAACAAGUAAGUGCAUGUCUCAAACAAUAUUUUCAAAUAUUUAAGAGAAGCCCUGGAAUAGGAUAUCUAGGUGAGCAGAAAAUAUGCAGUAUUGAGUCAAGACCAAAGUGUGAAAACUUAAUUAGUUUGCUUACUGAUUUUUAAACAUGUUGGAUAUGGGCAGUCACAAAUAACAAAGCAUAGUUUUACAGUUCGCAUGAUUUUAGUCGCCAUACAGGCUUGCCUAGGCGUAUAAUAGUGAUUUCCUAUAAGCAUGGUAUCUAAUCAUUAAUCAGGAGUGCAGUAAACCAGUAAACAAUUUUAAGCAGGCAGUUUGGAUCCUAUAGGCAUGAUGUCCAAGUGUAAUGACUGAUUUAGACUGGUAAAAAUUGGUUUUCAAAGACCCUAUUGGCAUAGUAUAUAAAUGCAGUAAUUAGCUCAAGAACCUCAUUGACAUGCAGAAAACUGUUUUAAACCUUGUCAACAUGUAAAGGCUGUUUUCAAACUUCCAGGCGUAAUGUCUAAAUAUACAAUAUUGAUUUUUAUACACUAUAGGCAUGCUUUCUAGUGACAUUUAACAAGACACUGCAUGGUGUUCCAGUUUUAGCACGUAAUGCACUCAGUAAUACCCUAUUGACAUGAUUUUUAUCUCUAACAAAUGAAAUUGUUAUUAGUUUUGUUAGACAUGCAUACUUACUGAGCAAGUGUGACAAAAAAUUAAAUCUACAUGCAUGAUUUCUAAAGAGAUAUAUUUAAAUAUAUGUUGUAAUGAAAACUGAACCUUAGUUAUUUAGUCUCUA